AAAAUCCAACAUUUUGUUGGAUAAUCCCACUAACUCUUAGUGGGAUAUGUGGCUAUAUGAGAUAUAGACACCUAGCCCACUAAGUUCCACUAAUUGUUAGUGGAAUAUUAGGUGUUGAGAUUUGGCAAUUGAAUUGCAUGCAUUUUUGCAUGCAAUUAGGCUAUAAAUAGAGGUGUUUUCAAAUGUUGAAGGACUUUUGCCUCUUUUAUCAUUUUCAUAAUCUCAACAAAAGAAAAAAGAAAGCUUCCAAUCUCAUUUUAUCUCCAUUAUUUUCUACACCAAAAUUGGGUCCCACAACCCGGUUCUUUGUCCAGAGGAUAGCAGUUGAGUACUAGUGGUGGUCUCGGGUAGAAUUGGUAAGAAGACAUCAAACCUUUUGAAAGCUUCAAAGGUAAUACUUCUUAAAACCCUAAUUUGAUUAGUUUAUGGUUACAUGUUAAUUGUGGCAAUUAGGGUAGAAAUUCGAUUCUUUUUCCGCUGUGCAUGACUUAGUUCUAUCACUUUCGACCUCUACGGUUGAUAACUUUGACAUAAUUCCUCCAAUAAGCUUCCUUGAUAAUCAUCCAAAGGAAGUAUUAGAAGUCACUACAUGUCAUGCUAUCAGCAUAGAAGAAGUUGGAUCACUGACGACGAAGAAGCCCGAUCGCUCCUACUAGGGAGGUAGAUCUUACGCAUAAUCUCGAUUGUCCUCUAGAAGAAGUUGGAUCGCUAACGGCGAAGAAGCCCGAUCAAUCCUACUAGGGAGGUGGAUUUGACGGCAAAGUUCGAUCAUCCCCAAGAAGAAGUUGGAUCGCUGAUGGCAAAGAAGCUCGAUCGCUCCUACUAGGGAGGUGAAUCUGAAGGCAAAAGUCUGAUCGUCCCUAGAAGAAGUUGGAUCAUUGACAACGAGAAAGCUCGAUCGUUCCUAGAAGAAGUUGGAUCACUAACGGCGAAGAAGAUUGAUUGCUCCUACCAGGCAGGUGGAUCUGACAGCAAAAGCCCAAUCGUCCCCUAAAAAAAGUUGGAUCGCUAAUGGCAAAAAAGUCUGAUCGCUCCUACUAAAGAGGUGGAUCUGAUGGAAAAAGCCUGAUCGUCCCCUAAAAGAAGUAGGAUUGUUGACGACAAAGAAGCCCGAUUGCUUCUAUUAGGGAGGUGGAUCUGACGGCAAAAGUUUGAUCGUCCACUAGAAGAAGUUGGAUCGUUGAUGGCGAAGAAACCCGAUCGCUCCUACUACAGAGGUGGAUGUGACGACAAAAGUCUUAUCGUCCCCUAAUAGAAGUUGGAUCACUGAGGGCAAAAUUAUCCAUGCAAACGAUUGUAAAAAAAAAAAAAGAAGAAGAAGAAAUAUGAAAAUGUUUUUACCUUUAGCUCCCGUAAAAAAACAAAAACAAAAAUACAAAAAAAAAAACAAAAACAAAAAUACAAAAAACAAAAACAAAAACAAAAAUACAAAAAAAUACAAAAACACAAAAAAUAAAAAAAUAAAAAAACAAAAAAAGAGGAAGAGGGAAAGGGAGAAGAAAAGUUUUUCAUACCUUUCUGUUGUUGGAUAAGGAAUAAAUAAUCAUGAUGUGAGUCUAUUUAUAAAACCAACAAAUCCAAUUCCUAAAAAGAUUAGGAAUGAUAAUUUAAUCAUUUUGUUUAAAACAAACCCAAUUUCUAGAACGAAUAGAAAUGAUUUUUUUUAUAUAUAUAAAUAAAGAAAAGAUAAUCCAAUUAUCUUAUCUUAUUUUAAAUUAUUUUAUUUUUGGGAUAAAUCUCAAAUUUAAUUUUUUAAGAUAUUUAAAAUAUUUAAAUAUUUCAACAUUUUUAAAAAUAUAUAUAUAUUUCCAAUUUUAAAAUUAAAUUUUGAGUUCAAAAUUUAAGUCAAAUUAAGUUGCAUGUAUGACCUCCUUUUUAUCUUAAAUUUAAAUCAGAGCCAUAAAUCCAAUUUUAUCUCAAGAUUGAUGACCUCUUUUUUCUCUCCAAUUAAAAUUGGUCAUUCCAAAUUCUUGUGCAUCCUCGAGACAAAUUAAGAAAUGGUAGAAACAUUAUCAUUAUUUCAAAUUAAAAUUUUGGUUAUGUUCCAAAAUUUAUAUUUUUUAAAAAAUAAAUUAAAAUUUUUAUCCUCAAAUCAAUUGACUAAGGUUCAGUCAUAUUCCAAUCCUUAAUUCAAAUUUAAAUCAAACUUAUAUACUAAAUUCAUAGUUUGAUUAAUUUGAUAUGUUCAAUUGAAAGAAAAAAUGCUCAUAUUUGGACUUCAAAUUUUUUUUUCGAGAUUCAUUCACCCAUCUACGUGCAUAAAUCUAAAAAAUGAAAUAUUUAUUUAAUAUGCAUAUGGUAUCUUUGUACGGACAAAACAAAACAACAAAUAUUGUAUUUAAAGGUUUUUCGAAAAGACAGUUGGAUAAAUGUCUUGGCAAAUUGGAAUUUGGUAAGGAUGAUAUUUACAAACCAGGUUGUUGAGGGAGAAUGUUGAAUUUCCUUCUCUUGUAAUAUUAUUAUUUUUUAUUUAUGUCAAUAUUUUUUUUCUUAUUUGUUGUUUGCCUUUCUCUAUAUAUAAGAAGACCUUAUACUUGGUCCAAUAAAUAGAGAAAUAAUACUCAACUUUUUGGUUUCCAUUUUUUUACAGAUAAAUAUUAUAAAAAUUUGAAAGUCUCAACAAAAAAAAAAAGAGAAAAAAUUGACAAAAAUCUAGAUGAAGAGAUCUUUGUUUGGGAGGGUACAAAUUAUAUUUGAUGAGUAAGAGUCCAAAAUUUGAAAUAAAUGAGAGAAAUGUAAAGGAGGAAAAAUGUUAGAAAUAAAGGUUGAUAUUGGAAAAGAAAUAGAAAAGAGAUUGAGGGUUUGAGUGAAAAAUAAGGAGGUCGGGGACUAAUUGUGAAAUUAUGGAAACAAAGAUGUGUGGCCCCAAGGGUUACCAAUUUACCAAACAUGUACCACGCCACUUUGUCUAAUUCCAAUUUCACCCCAUCAUUCUCAAACAAAUUAAAUGAAUGUGUCCAUUUAAGGCUACAUUCAAAAUCAUCUCUAUCAUUGUACUCAUAUAUUCAUCAUACAUAAAUUCUAUUGUUAACGUUAUUACAACUAUACUAUUACUGUAAUCUCCAUUUUAAUAUUUGGAAUGAUA
rnacentral:lncRNA from 1 species